ACUCAAAGGAAUAGACGGGGACCCGCACAAGCAGCGGAGCGUGUGGUUUAAUUCGAGGCUACACGAAGAACCUUACCUAGGCUUGACAUAGGAGUAGUAGGGAACUGAAAAGGGACCGACCUUCGGGAGCUUCUACAGGUGCUGCAUGGCUGUCGUCAGCUCGUGUCGUGAGAUGUUCGGUUAAGUCCGGUAACGAGCGCAACCCUUGGGGCUAGUUACACGAGUCUAGCCCAACUGCCCGGUUCAACUGGGAGGAAGGUGGGGAUGACGUCAAGUCAGCAUGGCCUUUAUGUCUAGGGCUACACACACGCUACAAUGGCCAAUACAAUCGGUUGCCAACCCGCGAGGGGGAGCCAAUCCACGAAAGUUGGUCUCAGUUCGGAUUGCAGGCUGCAACUCGCCUGCAUGAAGUUGGAGUUGCUAGUAAACGCAGGUCAGCUAUACUGCGUUGAAUACGUUCCCGGGUCUUGCACACACCGCCCGU
rnacentral:rRNA from 1 species